UACGGAGGGUGCAAGCGUUAUCCGGAUUCACUGGGUUUAAAGGGUGCGUAGGUGGGCAGGUAAGUCAGUGGUGAAAUCUCCGGGCUUAACCCGGAAACUGCCGUUGAUACUAUUUGUCUUGAAUAUAGUGGAGGUGAGCGGAAUAUGUCAUGUAGCGGUGAAAUGCUUAGAUAUGACAUAGAACACCAAUUGCGAAGGCAGCUUGCUAACAUCUAUUAU
rnacentral:rRNA from 1 species